UACGAAGGGGGCUAGCGUUGCUCGGAAUUACUGGGCGUAAAGCGCACGUAGGCGGCUUCUUAAGUCGGUGGUGAAAUCCUGGAGCUCAACUCCAGAACUGCCUUCGAUACUGGGGAGCUCGAGUCCGGGAGAGGUGAGUGGAACUGCGAGUGUAGAGGUGAAAUUCGUAGAUAUUCGCAAGAACACCAGUGGCGAAGGCGGCUCACUGGCCCGAUACUGACGCUGAGGCACGAAAGCGUGGGGAGCAAACGGG
rnacentral:rRNA from 1 species